GCUGUAUGUGAUGAGUUUGCAAAAUGUCCACUCUAGAAGUUACAAAAAUAUUACUUCAUUGAAUUACUGAAGAUUUCCCAAGAGCAAUGACUAAAUUAAUUAAAAAUUAACAGUUAAUUUAAAAUUAAUUUCAUGGACAAUUAGCUCCAAUGUUGCUGACCAAAUCAGACUGACUAUAUAGUUCUACUUUUGCUGGAAAGAAGGUAAAGAAGUUGCAAUUUCCCUUGCUACAUCACAGUUUGCAAAAAUUACUCACUUCAUGCUAUGACUGGAAGACAUAUUAUUACUGGCAGCAUAUGGUACAGAACUCACUCCAUGAAUCUCAUUCUAGCUUGUGAAUCUUUUUUCCUCACUUACAGUGGAAACUGCUUCUGCUUUGUCAAAAGUCUUCCAUUGCUUGAAGAUAUUAAUAUAUUUAUUUCACCCUCUACUUAGAUAUUCUUAGAAUAUCUAGAGGUCAGUGAAAUAAACCUCUCAUCAUCCUGUAAGGUGGCUCCUUCUGGAAUGUAUCAUCUGAAAGAGUGAUCUCACAUUUAAAGUUGUCACUGCCAAGAUGGAUUGACAGCAAGUCUAGCUAAAGGAAAGACAUGACAAUAACAGAAAGGUCUUCUCGAGCUAUUCCAUGUCAGUGUCCUUCAUCUAGAAGAUUCAAUUUUCCUUUAUCUAACACCUAAUUUGGGAUAUGCUAAAAUAACUCAGUAGCAGCCUGCUCCAUUUCCCCAUGAAAUAAAUUGAAGGACUCCCACGGAGCUGAUCCUAUUACAGCAUGCCCUACAAGGAGAAUUCCUCUCUUUGACAUUACUAAUGAGUGAUAUAUUGAAGUUAUUUUUAACAUCAGAAUUUUGGAUUUUCCUUCAGUUUCUUCAGGAAAAUAUUUGGGAUUUUUUUGCACUCUUCCCAUAAAUGCACAAAGGAAGAUAACUCAUUUCAGACAGCAAGAAUUUUAUCAAUACAAAUAUUCUUUUUCCUGUUGACCGUACAAAUAAAUGAUAAACACAUGUUAUUUCCUGCAGAAGUUCAGCACUACACUACUAAGCAGGGUACAGGUAAUCACUCCCUGGUCACUGACCUGUUUAUAUGUUAGGUUUAGAAACACUGCCAGAAUUAAUUGCAGUUUCAGCAGCUGGUGUUACCUGCAGGUUUAUGCUAGGUUUUUUUGUUUUGUUUUGGCUUGGUUUGAUUUGAUUUUUUUUUUGGGGGGGGGGGGGGGGGGGGGAGGGAGGUGGAAGGGGGGAGGAGAGGGUUGUUAUAGUAUUCGUAGGGAGGUGAGGAUACAGUCUUGACCAAAAAAUAUGAAAGUUGCAGUUUUUCUCCCGAUACCAAUACACAGUAUCACAUUUUUGGUCUUGUAAGUGCUCCCAUAUGCUACAGAAAUAAUUAAAUUUUUAUUGACUUUCUGGCCUGGCUCCUAAAGAAGAAUAUCCUUCAGAUGCUACACAUCUGAUAGGUUUGAAGUGAAGGGAAGUUUCUUUUCAUGGAAAAAUAUGCACAUGGUAGGACAAAGGCAAUCUUCUGAGUCUUUAGAUGCAGUUGGCCACCAUAAGAUAGGAGAAAGGAGUAAGGCUCCUUUUUUUAAAAGAGCAGGUUGUCAAACUGGUAGUCUCACAUAUAUUUUCUUCUACCUUGUGAUUAGGUUCAGAGCAACAGGAUCAGUUUUUCACAAAAACAAUAAAAAAUGGAUUUGAUCCGUCAUCAUCUACAAGAAUCAGAUAUACUCAUAAAUUGAAAUAAUGUGGAUGAAAGCAGUGUUCUGUUUUCCCCUCCACAUUAAACCUAAACACAUGUAACAAAUUCUUACUUUUCUCUCUCUUUCUUCCUUUCUUCCUUUCUUCCUUUCUUCCUUUCUUUCUUUCUUUCUUUCUUUCUUUCUUUCUUUUCUUUCUUUCUUUCUUUCUUUCUUUCUUUCUUUCUUUCUUUCUUUCUUUCUUUCUUUCUUUCUUUCUUUCUUUCUUUUUCUUUCUUUCUUUCUUUCUUUCUUUCUUUCUUUCUUUCUUUCUUUCUUUCUUUCUUUCUUUCUUUCUUUCUUUCUUUCUUUUCCUUUCUUUCUCUUUCCUUCCUUCUUUCCUUCCUCCCUCCCUUCCUUCCUUCUUUCCUUCCUUCCUUCCUUUUCUCUCUCCCUCUUUUCCCCUCUUUCUUUCUCUCUCUCUUUCUUUUUUUUUUUUUUUUUCUUAAUUUCGUAUGGCAUAACUCCAUCAAAACAUUACAGAAUCUUAGAAAUUUUUCUUUACUGGAUAAUAUUGACAUUCCAUAGAGGAAGUGAUUAGAUUUCAGUUAGCUGCUGUUGCAAUGCUAACUCUAACGUGUUGAAAUUCUGCUCCGUACACAGUACCAGCCAAACUCAAUAUUGCUUGUUUUUGCUGAUGCAUUCAAGUUGGGAGGAACGCUACUUCAAUUUCAGAUAGAAAUCUCUCUAUGUUUCCUAGUGAGAUCAAGCAUCAGAGUCCACCUGCCAAGAAGUGCUAGGAAGAACUCACCACAUAGUGAAUUUUGAUCUAUUUUUGUUUUUAUUUCCUGCUGUUCAUGAGAACUAGGAAGGCAGAUCAGGCUCCACCAUCCAUCGAGAGAUGUGCAUUUGCAAGACUUCCACUACUUCUUGGAGAGCACCCAUCCCCUUGCAGUUGCUAGCCAAAUCUUUUGUUCUCUGUGGGCCGUUGGUAAUUUAUUUGUGACUCAUCUCUGGCAAGGGAAUCCCAAGCCUUUUAGAAUAGCCUGGGAGCAUUCACAGUGAUUGAUGUGUCAGAAGAUGAGUGUACCCCUGUUUUCCUGUCUCAAUUUUUCAGUCUGUAGUUGCUCUCUGUCCAGAGAAAUCCUGAAUAGCCUUGUAGUAACAAUCUCUUGUGGAGACCCAGCUGGCCAAAUGACAGAUGGAACAGAGAAUGGUUGACAACCUGACUGAAGUGCAACUUAAGUCACUCUCAAGGAAAGGUUUGGAGUAAGAAGUGGUGUAAUGCAUUUCUCCAGAUGGGCAGGAUGGGAUUAGUGUUGCCUGUCAGUGAACAGCCAGGAUGCUGGAAGGAAGGAGAAAUCAUUGUAGAAACCAUUUGAACCAAUGGCAAGUCUUGUAAAAAGAUUUCUUACCGGGCUUGCAGCCCAUCCUAUUACCCCAGAGCAGCUGCUUUAAAGAGCAGGCAUAAACUCACCCUGGCUAUUGCAAGCAUGUUUUCUUCAAGGUGAAAUAUUUGGCGUCUGUAAGUAUCAGAAAGGACCCUUUUGACAUAAAUCAUGCCGAAAAUCACUCAAAUCUGACAAGUGCCUUGAGACCACUUACAGGUUCACCCCUAAAUUCCAAUAUCAAAGAGCAGCCUCUCAAGCUGUAAACUCCUCUAAUACAUCAAGUCUGACAUAGGAAGAAGAUUGGGGCCACUGAAUGGAGGGACUUUCUGCCUUCCAAGGAUGCACAGAUGCAUCUGGCACAUUGAGCUUCAGGAACUCCCUGAUUCCAGUGCUCUGCACCAGGAGCAAAAGAGCUUUGCCUUCACUCGGCUGAAAAUUCAUAUCUCCUUCACCCUUUACCUUCCUCCUAUCACUGCCGGGUUCAUAGCAACAGAGCCAACUGCUGGCAUAGCCAGCUCCUGGGCAUGAAUCUCUGCCUCUGCCAGAAGGGCUGUCCAGUGUAUCAGACAUAUCAUUCUUUUUUCUUGAGGAUAAGGGAAAUAAUGAUUGUCACUAUUGCCUUAGCACACAGCAUUUUUUCUCUGAUCAGAAAGCAAAAGGCUGUGGCACCUCUGCCCUUCGGAUAGUCACCAGUGGUCAUGAACUCCCCCCAUAUAUUUUUUUCUCCUGCUGAAAUGCCUCCAUAAAUAAAACCAGCCUCCAUAAAACAGCAGGGAAAAUCCACUCCCAGCGAGACUCCUCGAUGGCAAUGGGAGCAUAAGACUGAGUCCGAAAGGUGGGGACAGGCAGCUUCCCCCCCACUUGCUCACGCAGACAACUGUCUCUGAGCCGCUUGCUUCUCCUGGUGAUUUAUGAAGCCCUUUGAUCAGAAGCGAGUUUUAAUUGCCUGAACUGCAGAAUCUGACACGUGCUUCAUCAAGUCAAAAACGGAGACUCUUCCCCACGCCCUCCACUUCUCCUCCUUGGAUUCACUCCCGGCAGGAUUUUAGGAACCCACCCAAUCCCUAAACCCGUCUUUCAUGAUAACUGCUUGAAAAUGACAGAAAAAGAUGGAG
ensembl:lncRNA